AUGAACUUACAAAAUUAAACUCAGCCUUCAAAUGAAUCCCUCGGCCUCCGAAACUCAGUCUUUCUCUGUCUCUCAACUCAAUCUUAACUCAACUCAGGAAAAAAAAAAGCAUAAGGAGGAGAGCGAGAGAGAAGGGAAGAAUAGGGAAAAAAAAUUAUGGAGUGGGUUUUUAUGUUUUGCUGUUUUGGAUUGUGAUGAAGCAAGAGAGAAGAGGGAAGAGGAAGCAACGAAAGAGACGGAGAGAUAGAAGAAGAAAAAAAAAAGCAGAUAGAGGAGAGCGAGAGAGAGAAGGGAAGAAGAGGGAAAAAAGGUAUGGAGUGGGUCUUUAUGUUUUACUGUUUUGGAUUGUAGUGGAGGAGAGAGAAGAAGGAAGAGGAAGAAGAGAAAGAGAGGGAGAGAGACUGAGAGAUAGAAGAAGAAAGGGAGAGAGAGAGUGUGUGUGUGUGUGUGUGUGUGAAACGGAAGAGGAAGAAGAGGAAUAAAUAAAUAAAAUAAAAAGGGAGAGAUGGGUGAAUGCCCAAAAGAGAGAGAGAAGGCAGGUUGUGUGUAUCUGCAGCCUUGGGAAGUUCAG
rnacentral:lncRNA from 1 species